rnacentral:lncRNA from 1 species
UCCUAUAAGAACCGGUCUAUUAGAGUCCUCUGGAAUGGUAUAGAGGUAGUUUACUUUUAUUGGAAGGCUUUUGGUUUUUAGGAAUGGACUCUUUUUUUAUUCUUUCCUGCUAUAAGUUGAUUUCAAUUGGUAUCUGGUGAUUCAAAUUGAUAUAUAAUUCUUUAACUCAUACUUGCAGAUAGUUAAUACUCAUUACAAAAU